UACAUUUAACUUUACUAGUUCAAGCAAAAGAUUUACUUUUAAUUUACAAGCAAAUCCUAAAACCCUCCCUUUAAAGGGAGGUUAAAAUUUAUGGCUAAUCUGCACUUUGGCAUAAUCUAAACCUUGACCUGAGUUUAUUAAGUGCUUAAAUGAAAAAAUAGUUAAAAUUGAUCUUUUACGGAGGUAUAUAAAAUAAUAGCCAAAGAAAAAUUAAAUGGGGGUUAUCAAUUAAGAGACAAGCCCCUCUGGUAAGUGGUUAAACCGCCAAAAAAAUUAGGUUUUAUGAGCAUCAUUUAAUACCUUAAUAGCUUUAUAAAAGGGUAUCUAAUCCUAUUCUUGUAAAAAUGUUAAAAAGAGAAGCUUAAAUUAAAAGUGUAGAAAAGAUUUCACCCUAUUCUUUACCAUAGAAAAUAUUAAAACUUUCUUAAACUCGAAAUUUUCCAAAAUAAUCGUAUA
rnacentral:rRNA from 1 species